UAGGGAAUCUUCGGCAAUGGGGGGAACCCUGACCGAGCAACGCCGCGUGAGUGAAGAAGGUUUUCGGAUCGUAAAGCUCUGUUGUUAAGGAAGAACGAGUGUGAGAAUGGAAAGUUCAUACUGUGACGGUACUUAACCAGAAAGGGACGGCUAACUACGUGCCAGCAGCCGCGGUAAUACGUAGGUCCCGAGCGUUGUCCGGAUUUAUUGGGCGUAAAGCGAGCGCAGGCGGUCAAUUAAGUCUGAUGUGAAAGCCCCCGGCUCAACCGGGGAGGGUCAUUGGAAACUGGUUGACUUGAGUGCAGAAGAGGAGAGUGGAAUUCCAUGUGUAGCGGUGAAAUGCGUAGAUAUAUGGAGGAACACCAGUGGCGAAGGCGACUCUCUGGUCUGUAACUGACGCUGAGGUUCGAAAGCGUGGGUAGCAAACAGG
rnacentral:rRNA from 1 species